rnacentral:rRNA from 1 species
AUGCACGCUGGCGGCGUGCCUAAUCCAUGCAAGUCGCGCGAACGGACGAGAAGCUUGCUUCUCUGAUGUUAGCGGCGGACCGGUGAGUAACACGUGGAUAACCUACCUAUAAGACUGGGAUAACUUCGGGAAACCGGAGCUAAUACCGGAUAAUAUUUUGAACCGCAUGGUUCAAAAGUGAAAGACGGUCUUGCUGUCACUUAUAGAUGGAUCCGCGCUGCAUUAGCUAGUUGGUAAGGUAACGGCUUACCAAGGCAACGAUGCAUAGCCGACCUGAGAGGGUGAUCGGCCACACUGGAACUGAGACACGGUCCAGACUCCUACGGGAGGCAGCAGUAGGGAAUCUUCCGCAAUGGGCGAAAGCCUGACGGAGCAACGCCGCGUGAGUGAUGAAGGUCUUCGGAUCGUAAAACUCUGUUAUUAGGGAAGAACAUAUGUGUAAGUAACUGUGCACAUCUUGACGGUACCUAAUCAGAAAGCCACGGCUAACUACGUG